UCUUUACAGAGAGAGGCUAUAGAACCCAGGCUCUUGGAUAAUGGCAUUGUCCCUUGUGAAUAUCCACCUCCUGUCUCUCCCACUUCCUCGUUCAUCAUCAUCACCUCCUCUACGGGUGCAGCUACAUGCCCUCUGUCUUUGAGCUCUUUGCUCUCCUUUUAAGGCUCACCGGGUUCUGGGAGAUGGAGGGUCUGGAAUGCUUUCUAAUGACAGCGUGUCAGCCAGCUGUUGCUCUGGCUCUGCCUGCUCCUCCUCACCCAUUAUUUCCCAGCUUUUCUCCACAUCUGCCUCUAAGCUGUGACCUCCCACAAACCACUGUCUUCCUCUUCCUCCUCCCUGGAAGGGUCAGGAUGGGGAAGUGGUCUCCACCAUUCCUCCUCUACCCAGUCCCUGACACCAGGCAUCCCCCACAGAAAUCCACAUCACAUGGCUGGCUGAGUGCAGAGGGUGAAGAGCAGCACACUCUGCACCUGCCCAGGAGGCAGGGGCUGGGUGAGCGGAGAGUGAAGAGUGCCCUCUGCACCUUGCCCACCCCACCCGACACACACGCACCUGCUCAUCAGGUGAGAGGGCUGGGCAAGUGGAGGAUGAAGAUAACCCUCUUUGCCCUGCUCCCACCCAUCGUGCAAGUGCCUGCCUUGGUGGCUAGGCCAAGGCAGCAUUCUUGCACCGGGUCAGGUGCAAGAAUAACCCUCCAUGCUCCGCCGCUGCACUGAUCUACCCUGAGAGGCAGCAGUUCUCCAGGUUUCCCCAGCCCUACCUGGAAGUGCCAGAGACCGAACUGCAGGACGUUCUACGUGCACAGCAGAUGUUCUGCUGCUGAGCUAUUGCCCUAAGGACAAAUCCACAUGUUAUGUCAUUCUUUAAGUCAAAUCUAGCCCACCUUUUCUCUUUGGAGCUGAGUUCCUGUCCCAACUCCACCCCAAAUUUUAAGCUCCCUAUAACCCUGUGAGGUAGGUUAGGCUGAGAGACAAUGACUGGCUGAUGAGCUUCUUGGCUGAGUGGAGAUUUGAACAUGGCCCUCUCAUGCCCAGUACAACCAUUGCAUCAGAUAGGCCAAAUACCUCAGUUGGUAGAGCACAAGACUUUUGAUCUCAAGGUUGUUGUUUUUGAGCCCCACACUGGAUGAAAGAUACCUGCAUUUCAGAGGGUUGAGCUAGGUGACCCUUGUGGUCCCUUCCAAUCCCAUGAUUCUGUGUUUUGUACCACAGUGCUGAGUAUGAGAAAAAAUGGGCAUAAGAAAAGUUGAGAACCUCUGCCUUAAAUCUUUGUUUCUAGCUGUUAGUUUUGACUAAAGGCUUACAACGGUAAAUAGAGGGGGAUGUGCAUAACUAAAACUGACCACACACUUCUGUUACAGAUAAUGCAACGCACAGUAUCAUAUUUCUUUUGAACAUGGUGGUGUAGAACUCCAACGGAUCAGUUUUCUAUAGCUAAAAGUUACCACCUUGUCACUUGUCACUGAACUGAAGCCCAGCUGUCUUGUGUUAGAUGUACAUAACUAAUGCUGGACAAACCACCCUAGAGAAUAUUAACCAGGCUAGGCUUCUGUGCAGUUUCCUUCUCUUGUCAAGCCACCUGGAAUAUCUGAUGUUAUCCCCUCUGGAUCUAGCUAUGAUCAAAAGAGGGGGGAAAGCGAGACGUGAACUGCAUUACGGGCACAUGGUGAAUGAAGGCAGUAGCUGAGAGAAAAGUUGAACUUAUUCACCUUAAAAUAGGGAUAGGGAAGAUAUUUAUUUAUUUAUUUAUUUAUUUAUUUGAUUUGGUUUGUUUUUAAAGGUGAACCUACCCAAUUCACACAACCAUCUUUCAAAAUUCUCUCUUCUCCAAAUUUUGCAAUGCCGUUAUACAGUCAAGUAUAAACAUAUGCUAGGGUGAAGUGUGCAUGAAAAUGCAACACUGAAUUGAACUAGGGAGAAAUGGGUACAGAAACAAUAAUAUAAUAUACAAAUAUAUAAUAAAAUAAUAUACAGAAACGUGUAUACCAAAAGAAAUUCACAUUUAACUUGCUGGUGAAUUUAUAUGAGGACUUUAAAUAUAUAUAUAUUGCAAACUGAUGUGGAAUGAGCACCGAUUUUGCAAUCAGGAAACUGAGAAAAACUGAAAUUUACAAAUUGGCCCAUCCCUACCUUCAAAUCCUACUGAUGGGUGCAUUUUCUGCUAGAAGAACCAAGUAAACUACAAAAUUAUUUGACAAAAAAUCAAUAGCCUAUUAGCUUGCAUAGCCAAGGGAGAAAUGGCAAGAGCUUUGCACCUGUCUCUUUGUACUCUCCUCCCAACAGAGGUAAUUUUUGCUAAGCGAAAUUACCCAGGCGUGUUUUGGCUCAAUUAGCAACUGCAUUUGUAUCAUUUUUGUUUCCCAACAAAGUAUGUUUGACUUGUUACAUUUCCCAUGCCCUUUGGCAAACAGCUGCAUAAGUUUUGUUCUGACACUUUAUUGGAGGCAGGAACAGGGAGAUGAAGAAGGACAGAGAGACAGAGAGAGAUUGAACGUGUCUGCAGAACAGGCAGGGACUAUCAAGUAUCUCAGAUCUCAUGAAUAAACCCAACACUGAAUGAAUCAUCUUCAUAGUGUCAGUCCCACUGCAUCUCAUUAAAGAUCACUGAACAAAGAGCACCAAAGAAGCGUCUUUGGAUCUUGUAAUCAUUAAUAAUAUCAGAUGUGUUUCAUCUUUUCUUUUCAUGACUUAACGUUGCAGAAUGAAAAUGGUGAUGUAACAUUUGACAGACCUCUAAAAUAACGUUGAUCUUCUGAUCCAGCUCAGUACCCACCAUUGCUCUGUCUUUCCUUCCUUUGUAGUAAGUGAUGUGUGCAUUGAUACUGUUGCUCUGACAAUGUCUACCACAGCUGAUCCAGCAGACUCCACGGACGCUGCCAAUGAUACUAUCUAUGAGAGAGAAGCGACCCAAAGACUAUCUAGAGCAGUUACUCAGUGCCCAUCAACCCUAGCUGGCUUAGCCAAUGGGAUGAUGGGAGCUGUAGUCCAACAGUGUCUGGAGACCCCAAGGUUGAAGAAGGCUGAUCUAGCCCAACCACUGCUACAAAGCAAGAUAAUCUGUCUACCAAGCUUCUGUAACUCACUAGGUGCAACAGAGUCCCCAUGGUGUGCCAGAUAGAACAAGCAGGUACAUGUAAACAAUGGUGCUUAGAAGAUGAACAGCUUAAAAUGACUCAAAGGAGGAUUGGUCAAAUUCUUGGAAGAUAAGGCUAUCAAUGGCUAUGACCCAUGAAAAUCAUGCUGUGUCAGAGGCAGUAAAGCUUCUGCAUACUACUUGCUGGAAACUGCAGGAAGAGAGAGUACCCUUGGGCUAGGGUCCCGCUUGGGCUUCCUAGAUGCAUCUCGUUGUCCAUUUAACUAGAGCAGGGGUAGGCAACCUAAGGCCCAUGGGCCGAAUGCGGCCCAAUCACCUUCUAAAUCCGGCCCGCAGACGGUCCGGGAAUCAGCGUGUUUUUACAUGAGUAGAAUGUGUCCUUUUAUUUAAAAUGCAUCUCUGGGUUAUUUGUGGGGCAUAGGAAUUCGUUCAUUUCCCCCCAAAAAAUAUAGUUUGGCCCACCACAUGGUCUGAGGGACAGUAGACCAGCCCAUGGCUGAAAAAGGUUGCUGACCCCUGAACUAGAGGGAAGCAGCACAGAUGAGGAAGUGCUGUGCUCCCAUUCAUAAGAAAGACAGACUUGCAAGAGGUAUAGUAAAGCAGGCAGAGAUGAAGCACCACCACUUAACAGGGCCAAUGUCAUCACCUCCUGGGUGUUCUUUUCCAAUCCCCUGCAUGCCAAAGAAACAGUGUUCUCUCAGAGAGAAAUCCAUCAAAUAAGCUAAGCAGAGGAAGAGGCAGGUAAAAUUAACAUGCAUGGCUAAGGGUCCCACUGCUAUUUUUAUUUUUGAAAAUUUCCAGUCUUCUUUUGACCAACCCAAAUGUCAAAAAAUAAUGUGCAAGCUUUUAACUGCACCAGAACUAUCCAUCAGGCUGGAUGUUAAACUAAGUGAGAGUUGGAUGCAUAAGGACAGAAAGAUGAUUUGGUUUUGAAGCCAUAACAUCUGAACUGGUCAAAAUUUUAUUCUUGGUUAAGAGUGAGUGGAUGAAUCUGUCAGUUCUAGUUUCUUGCAAUUUAUCAUUUUUCCAGUUCAGUUUUCUACAUUUUCCAUCACUUUGCGGGGUUGUGGUUUUUUUAAGUGCUCAUUAAAAAUUGCCAUUCUUAUUAGUGCAAAUUUCCCCCAAGUAGGCACAUUUUUAAAUGUGCAAACUUGCCUAAUAUACACAAUUUUCCCCAAUGUAAUGUGUUUCUAUAUGUUAUUUUCACUAAUAUAUGCAUUCUUAUACAUACUUUCUCCCUAAUAUACAUGUACUGUACAUGCUGCUUGGUUGGAGAUCUGCACCACAAAAGUCAGAAAUGUACAAAUUUUGCAUAUUGCUUGAGAUUUGUUCACAUAAGAAAUUUUAACUCAAUUGAAUUCCCUCAUCCCCAUGUUUGGUGUAAGGUCUUAGAAGGGCAUGGCUAUUGCGACAAGGUGGGGGCUGUUCAGAAGAGCACCUGAACUUGAGAAUUUACCACUGCACCACCGAGAUGAGGUAUGAUAACAGAAGGUUAAGAACAAGAACUUCACCAUCUCUGUUCCAUGAAUCUUUUAGGGACAAGGAUGUGUGAAUAAAGAUUUUUCAUCAUUGCUGAUGAGAUGGUUUGAUAUUCCUCAGUUCCUACAGCCACCUGCCUUAUGUCUCUUAUGUUAGCCUUAUAAACAAAUACUCUUCCUAACAAUGACACAUGCAUAUUCAUACACAAGCAGUGGCAUGUCUAGUUUGAUCACUGAGCCUAGGAAUAAAAUUAAGCCGUUCCAUCUGCAGGUGAGAGAGCAACAAGUAUAGAUAUGUUGCUAAUGGUUUUUCUCAACUCUUCUCAACUUUGGUUUUCUAAAUGAAUCUAUUAGGGCCCCAGGCUGUCACUUUGUAUGUUUCUAGGCAAUCAUUAAAUGCAUCAGCUUUACCAAGAGAGAUGGUCACCUGCAGCCAGCUGUGUCGCUGCAGCAUCUGUGAUUUGGAAUUAGCAUGACAUGCCAACAUGGGCUGGAGAGAAAGCCUUCAGGCUGCAGCAAGUAAAUAUUGGCAUUGAGCAUUUCAUUCAGAUAGUAAACAAUAGC